GUGGACGCCAGUCUGCAUGGAGCCGACCUUGAAAUACCACCCUUUAAUGUUUGAUGUUCUAACGUGGACCCGUGAUCCGGGUUGCGGACAGUGUCUGGUGGGUAGUUUGACUGGGGCGGUCUCCUCCUAAAGAGUAACGGAGGAGCACGAAGGUUGGCUAAUCCUGGUCGGACAUCAGGAGGUUAGUGCAAUGGCAUAAGCCAGCUUGACUGCGAGCGUGACGGCGCGAGCAGGUGCGAAAGCAGGUCAUAGUGAUCCGGUGGUUCUGAAUGGAAGGGCCAUCGCUCAACGGAUAAAAGGUACUCCGGGGAUAACAGGCUGAUACCGCCCAAGAGUUCAUAUCGACGGCGGUGUUUGGCACCUCGAUGUCGGCUCAUCACAUCCUGGGGCUGAAGUAGGUCCCAAGGGUAUGGCUGUUCGCCAUUUAAAGUGGUACGCGAGCUGGGUUUAGAACGUCGUGAGACAGUUCGGUCCCUAUCUGCCGUGGGCGCUGGAGAACUGAGGGGGGCUGCUCCUAGUACGAGAGGACCGGAGUGGACGCAUCACUGGUGUUCGGGUUGUCAUGCCAAUGGCACUGCCCGGUAGCUAAAUGCGGAAGAGAUAAGUGCUGAAAGCAUCUAAGCACGAAACUUGCCCCGAGAUGAGUUCUCCCUGAGACUUAAAGUCUCCUGAAGGAACGUUGAAGACGACGACGUUGAUAGGCCGGGUGUGUAAGCGCAGCGAUGCGUUGAGCUAACCGGUACUAAUGAACCGUGAGGCUUAACCUUACAAC
rnacentral:rRNA from 1 species